rnacentral:rRNA from 1 species
UACAGAGGGUGCGAGCGUUAAUCGGAAUUACUGGGCGUAAAGGGUGCGUAGGUGGUUGCAUAAGUUAGGUGUGAAAGUCCCGGGCUUAACCUGGGGAUUGCGCCUGAUACUGUGUAGCUAGAGUACUGUAGAGGAAGGUGGAAUUUCCAGUGUAGCGGUGAAAUGCGUAGAUAUUGGAAGGAACAUCGGUGGCGAAGGCGACCUUCUGGACAGAUACUGACACUGAGGCACGAAAGCAUGGGGAGCAAACAGGAUUAGAUACCCUGGUAGUCCAUGCCGUAAACGAUGAGAACUGGCUGUUGGGUACCUUCGGGUACUUAGUAGCGAAGCUAACGCGUUAAGUUCUCCGCCUGGGGAGUACGGCCGCAAGGUUAAA